rnacentral:rRNA from 1 species
AUGCUGAAUAUCGUCCUCCGAGCCUUCCACCAUCAUGAUGGUGUCCUUUGCAUAUUGGAGACGGGUCAAACCCCCAUAGCCCACAAGAUGAGGGCAAAUCCCUCGAAUGUGGCCAGCGCGCUUGGCCAAAUCAAGGAUCAAAGCCAGAACGUUGACCACAAGAUUGAAAAGGAAUGGGGAGAGAGGAUCUCCUUGCCGCACCCCCUGGCCCGUCAAGAAUUACGGGCCAACCUCCCCAUUAAUGUUGAUAGCCGUGCGGCCACUAGUCACGAGUUGCAUAACCCGAGCGAUCCAGUGCAGGUCGAAGACACGUUUCAUCAUCAGCUCCCGAAGGAAGGACCAAUGUACAAUGUCGUACGCCUUUGGAAGUCAAUUUUGAAGAAGACCGCGCGGAGGCGUUUGAACUUCGGUUCCCUUUGGCCUGAAGAGAGGCCAAAGGGAACCGAAGUUCCCAGUCCGGGGUGA